rnacentral:rRNA from 1 species
AUUGAACGCUGGCGGCAUGCCUUACACAUGCAAGUCGAACGGCAGCACGGGAGCAAUCCUGGUGGCGAGUGGCGAACGGGUGAGUAAUAUAUCGGAACGUGCCCAGUCGUGGGGGAUAACGUAGCGAAAGCUACGCUAAUACCGCAUACGAUCUAUGGAUGAAAGCGGGGGAGUCGCAAGACCUCGCGCGAUUGGAGCGGCCGAUAUCAGAUUAGGUUGUUGGUGGGGUAAAAGACUCACCAAGCCUGCGAUCUGUAGCUGGUCUGAGAGGACGACCAGCCACACUGGAACUGAGACACGGUCCAGACUCCUACGGGAGGCAGCAGUGGGGGAAUUUU